rnacentral:rRNA from 1 species
UACGAACCGGACGAACGUUAUUCGGAAUUAUUGGGCUUAAAGGGUACGUAGGCGGCCUUGUAAGUCGGGUGUGAAAGCCCACGGCUCAACCGUGGAAUUGCGCCCGAUACUGCAAGGCUUGAGGGAGACAGGGGUGAGCGGAACUGAUGGUGGAGCGGUGAAAUGCGUUGAUAUCAUCAGGAACACCGGUGGCGAAAGCGGCUCGCUGGGUCUCUUCUGACGCUGAGGUACGAAAGCUAGGGUAGCGAACGGG